CGACGUCGGCUUGGGCGGCGGCGACUGGCGGGGUGUGGAGGGAGAGAGAGACAGAGAGUUAAGAGAGAAAGAGAGCGAAGAGUGAGGGAGAGGUGUCGGGGCUGCGGGUAUAUCUAGGUAAGACGGUGAAUUGUUCACCGUCUUCAUAAAACAACAUUGGAGACGGUGAACGAUUUACCGCCUUACCUUGGCCCGGGGUUCCCAAUAAAGACGGUGAAUAGUUCACCGUCUUUAGUGCAGCAGAAAUAAGACGGUAAACAGUUCACCGUCUUAUCUGUCUCCAGGACUUGGCCAAAGUUGGGGGGUGUCUGUCUCCAGGACUUGGCCAAAGUUGGGGGGUGUUGUCCUGGCCGAAGUUGAGGGGUGUAUACCGUCUUAAGUAAGACGGUGAACUGUUUACCGUCUUAUCGAGGGCACAGCAGUUCCAAAGACGGAGAUGUAUUCGCUCUAAAGACGGUGAAUAGUUCACUGUCUCAUGAAGGCGGUGAACCAUCUACCGUCUUCAUGAGAAAUGUGCAUAGACGGUGAACGAUUCACCGUCUUUACGAGAAAAAUCCGACCUGGCGCCGACGUGGCGAAAGGAGGGUUAGUUUUACAAAUAAAAUUUUCANGACAGAGGAGAAGCUCGCGCGCGGGUGAGUGAGAGAGAAAGGAAAGGGGCUCGGGCGGGGUAGGGUAUACUGCUUAAAGGCGGUGAAUGGUUCACCGCUUUUAAAAGCGGUGAACCAUUCACCGUCUUUAAAAGCGGUGAACCAUUCACCGUCUUUAAAAGCGGUGAACUAUUCACCGCCUUUAAAAGCGGUAUUUAAUGGUCCCAGCACACGUGACGGAGGUAUUUGAUGGGCCCACAAAUGCGGUGAAUGGUUUACCGCAUAUAUAUGCGGUAAACCAUUCACCGCAUUUUUCUGCUUGCUGACCUGGCCGAUUUGGAGACUAUUUUUACAAAUAAAUUUUAAGGAGGCCUAUUUUUGUAAAUAAAAGUUUCAAGAAGACUAUUUAUAAANUUACGAGAAAAAUCCGACCUGGCGCCGACGUGGCGAAAGGAGGGUUAGUUUUACAAAUAAAAUUUUCAGAGGGUUAUUUUGCCAAUUACAAAAUUUCACAGGGUUAUUUUCGAAAAAAGUCCCUCUUCCGUCUUCACCGUUCGUCCUCCAUGAUCUUCAUCUUUUCUUUUUCUCUUUUUCUUAUGUUUUUUUUAGCAGAAUAUAAGGGAUUUUUUUUCUUGAGCUUCUAAUUAGAAUUUUAUGUAAAUUUUCUUACAGAAAUUUAGGUAGAUUGUAUCCCGCUCAACUUCCUCCCUGUCGAGCCAAAUAUUUUUGCGAGGUAGCAAUAAUCGAGCCAACGGGCCGAAAGCGAGCUAGCUCGAAUAAAUUGCGAGGCGAUCACGAGCUGGACUUUUCGAGCUUGUCACGAGCUCGAGCCGAAGAUGAGCCGAUCUUGAGCACUUUCGAGCCGAUCUCGAGCGAGCCGAUCUCGAGCUGGCUCUGGCUCUGGCUCGCUCGAGUUCGGCUCGUUGACAGCCCUACCCAGCACGGAGUGAGCCGUUCCCCUCUUCGUCUCCAUUGCGCAUAAAACCCUAACACCCCUGCUACUCUCCUGUUCCUCUCUCUCAUCCGCUUCGAAGUUUUCCCUCAAUUUUCUUUGCAAUUUUCGAUCUAUUUACCGUUCAAUGGCGAAGAAGAAGAAGGUGAUCCUCCCCCCCGAUCUCCCUCCCGAAAUCGCCGACAAUGAGAUCGAGGUAUCCGACGAGGACUUAGAUUUCGUGAGGAAUAAUCUCAAAUACGCCGGAUUCCUCACGAAGCUCGACAAAAAAUCGAUCGAUAGGUUCGUAAUCUAGUUCCGUUUUUUGGUGUAUUUUUUGGAUUUUUAUGCUCCUUUUUUUUUGGUGGAUUGUGGAUUUGCAGGCACGUAACACGAGUUGCGGAUUACGAAGAUGAUGGAUUGGAAGCGCUUUAUGAGAAGCGGAAUCGAAAAGCUGCUCUCUUGAAGGCGCAGGAAGAAGAGCUCCAAGUGGACCCUGCUGAUGCUCUUCCGAUUAAGACUUUAGAUGGGAAGUUGCAAUAUAGAAUUGGUAAUUAUUACAUUACCUGAGUUAUUUAGUACAGUUUCUCCCUAAUUUUUGGUUUUCUAUUAAUAUUUGGAUGGUUUUGAUGCACUAAGAGAGAAGAAUCUUAAGAGUCGGAGCUUGCACAAAAUCAAAUCGUUUUGAGUUGGGAGAAUUAUAUUACUAAACCCUGUCUCUGUAGUAAUAAAGAGUUUGGUUGGGGGUGUGGUUUUUCCGGAAUUGAAUAGAGCUGUUCAAAGAAGUAGCUUUUCAUCAAAAUCCUCUCCACAGCUUCUAGCUACAGCAAAAGCAGUAGUACGAAAGAAGAACUUCUAUUUUAGUGUAUUGGAAGUACACUUGAGCUUCCCAUUAGAGCAAAAGCUUUAAGCCUGUUGCUUGCCAAAUGCCUGAAAGCUGCUUCUGGAUGUUGAAAAGGUCUUUUAAAUAGGCUCCAUUAAUCCAUUUGGCAUGGGGGAUAUCCCCAAACAAGGGGGGAUAUCCUCCAGUUUGUAACCAAAUGACGGCAGAACUGGGUGGAACAAGCUAUUCCGUCAAAGCGGGUUGUUUUGGAUUGUCCAGGCCCCAAAAAGGCACAAAAUAGAGCUUCAAAUAAAAGCCAGGCCUAUCUAAUGCAAAAUGUUAUUAAAGUUAAUCUUUCUAGGCUGAGAAACUUGAGACUGAUAGGUGGUCUCACUGAUGUAGGCUGUGAUAUAAUAAGUUGUUUGAGAUGACCUGAGUGUAUAUAACAAUGACUACAUAUUUUUGUAUAGUUCUCUAUUUCAUAAUAUUUCUAAUACUACUCCAUAUGAUUACUUGGAGGUCUUUCUAAUGAUGCUUAUGUUUUUAACUUUUUGUUGAAAUUUAUCACUCGAACUGCAGCGAAGAAAAGAAGAUCAGAAGAGAAAAAUGAUGAUAUCGAAUGUGCAUCAGGGGACAAGGAUGAUGAUAUUGUAAGACUUACAAAAGCGGAACGGAGGGAAAAAUUGAAAAAGAGCAAGAAAGAGGCUAAGAAGCUUGCAAAACAGGAAAAUGAAUUAGAUAUUCAUGCAGGAAAACUGCACGCAGAAGUGCUGGUAAUCAUUGCUGCUAUUUAAUAUUUGAUAAUUUAUUGGUUUAUAUCCUCGUUGUUUCAUUAUACUGAUGAUAGUUGAUGCUUUUGUAUGUUUUGUGCAUUAGUGCUGGUAAUUGCUGCCGUUUUCCAUUGCUUGAUAGCAUUUUAAUUGUAUCCAGGGGUUUGCAGUAUAAUAUGUUGAUUGUCCCUUACUUUUGACUUUGGCCUGUCAUCAGAUUUUUUUUAACCUUUCUUUUUGAGGUAAAAGAAUACUUGUCUUUUAGUUUGGCCAAAAUGUGUUACUGUGCUCAAAAUUGGAUAAUGACUUGCUACAUAUUACUUUUUGUUGCUUCUUAGUUGUCAUAAUUGUAUUCUAAGUAUCUGAGGCAACAUUUUUAAUGUAAAAUGUUAUGAAGCAAAUUUUAUUUCUAAAUGAACCUCCAUUUUAAUGAACCUACCUGUUUGCUCGCGCCUCGAAUAACCUGUUCUGGCACUUGUAAACUUGGAAAGGAAACAUCAAGAAAGAUUCAAAUUAAAGACAAAUCUUUGUUCGUGGAGGUGAUAGAAGAAUAAGUCUACAGACCAAAGCUUUGAAUUGGUUUUAGUUAUAAUGUGGGCAACUUUGAAGGCUUGGAGGAUUAGAAACAUGACUAUUGCUUUCCAAUUAGCUGUUUUUGCAUUAAUUGCGACUUCAUCAGUCUUACUGAUUAGUGUACCCGUUGUAUUUGCUUCUUCUGAUGGUUGGUCAAGUAACAAGAAUGUUGUAUUUUCCGGUACAUCAUUAUGGAUUGGAUUAGUCUUUUUGGUAGCUAUUCUUAAUUCUCUCAUUUCUUAAACUUAUUUGGUAUUUCCCCGAUCCAAAAACAAAAAUGUCACUCCUUCAAAUAAAUUCGAAUUGUGAGACAUAUUAAGAUUCAAUCUGAGUUCUGAAAAAAAAAUUCUAUUUCAAUGUUAUUAAUUGGAUCUAAUAAAAUAAGAUUAUCUUAAUCAAUCUUAAUUGGAAUCUUACUUUACUAUUUAAUUUGAUGGGUCAUUUAAUUGUGGAAAGUAAGGUCCUUCAUUAGAAUGAAGUUUUUUGAUGUUCUGAGGACUUGAGAUUGGUAACUAUUAGGAAUUAAAAGUUAGGAAAAUAGACCAAAAGUUAGGACAUAGAAAAAAGGGAAAAUUUAAAAACUUAGUGGAGAAAAUGUUAAGAAAUACCACAUGAUCUUUAGUUACAUAUAUAUCUAAAUUCAUGUGAUUACGUUUUCAGGAAAAGGUGCAGGAAGAACUUUCUGCUGAAGAAAUAUUUGCUGGAAAGAAGAUGAAACUGGCUGAAAUCGGGAUGGCAUUACUUGAAGAUCCUGAGUCAAAUAUUCGGUCUUUAAAAGAGUUGUUGAAUAUUUGCAAUGAUAAAGACCGUAACAUUGUGAAGCUUGCUCUGAUGUCCUUGUUGGCUGUUUUUAAAGACAUCAUUCCUGGGUAUUUAAUUUCUGCACCUUUAAAUUUUCUUUCCACUUCAUGUUUCUUUGCCAUCUUUUUUUUUUUAAAUGGGAAAUUUGUAUCGUAAUGCAACUCCUUUUCUUGUUUGGUCUAUUUGCUCCAGCUACCGUAUCAGGUCACCAACCGAAAAGGAGCUCGCAAUGACUGUUUCAAAACAAGUUAAGAAGAUGAGGUUUUAUGAGUAUACUCUUUUGAGCUCAUACAAGGUGCCUACUUUUCUUGCAUUGAAAUUUUUUCUCCUUUUUUGCAUAAAUUCAACCGUAUUGCUCAAAAGUUAGAAAAUAUGAUAAAUACAAUUCAAAAGUUUGAAAUUUGAAAUAUUGUAGGUGUCCCUGUUGAGUACAUAUUCUUUUCAUCGAUGCCCUCUUUUGCAUUUAUAUUUGUAUGUAUGUAUAUAAAUUUUGUCAUCUUUUGGGAGGGCAUUUAUGAAAUUAUAGGUUGUAGAAGGUUAUGUUUGUAAUUUUUUCUUUUUCUUGUGCCAAUUAGGCAACUAGUCGAUAGUCCAGGCCUGCAUUAAUAAGCUAGGAUUAAAAAUUAAAAUAUGAGUGAGGAUUGUUUUGUGCCUGUAUCUUCUUAUGCUUGGUGCUAUAAUUCUCUUUUAUGUGGCCUCUAUACUUUAUCUUGUCUUAUGGUGUGGUGCAUAUAUAUUAUUCAUAAAUUUUCUGCUGUAUGUCUAGAGACAACGCCAAUCUUUUCUCUCAUAUUUUGCAUUUUCUUUUUCAGGCAUACCUUCUGAAGUUGUUAAAGUUAGAAAAGCAGUCCUUUUUUCAUCAAGUUGCUGUUCGCUGCAUGUGUACAUUACUGGAUGCUGUGCCACACUUCAACUUCCGUGAGAGCUUACUUGCUAGUAUUGUUAAGAAUAUAAGCUCCUCUGAUGAUGUCAUAAGGUUUGUACGUGUUUGAGUUCUUUGUUGUAAUUUUCUUCAUGUUCUUCUUUCUAGGAAACAAUGACAGUGAUUUUGAAAGUGUUCUCCUCCGUCUCAAUCUUGAUUCAUGUACAAAUUUUGAGUUAUGAUAUUAACUAGAUAGGGAAAAUUCAGAAAACCAAUUUCAGAAUUGAAAUCGCCUUAUUUUAUCUUGAUUGCAGUGUUUGGACUGGAAAAGAAUUAUCUGUUGUAUGCUAUGAAUCUUAUGUAUAAGACGAAAGUGAAAAGAUUGGGGCUACACAUCUUGUAUAAUUGUCAUAAAUUGUUCCUUAUUGAUUUAACUUUUAUUUUGAUAGGAAACUUUGUUGUGAUACCAUAAAGUCUCUAUUCACCAAUGAAGGGAAGCAUGGUGGACAAGCAACUUUGGAAGCUGUUCGAUUGAUCGCUGAUCACGUGAAACUCAAUGAUUGCCAACUUCAUCCUGAUAGCAUAAAUGUAAGUUUCCAUCUUUAGUCCCAAAUUAUAAAUCAAAUGAUUAAUUUUUGUAAAUCUAUUUGUCUUUCAAUUGCGAGGUUUUUACUGUUAUUAUUGUGCUUUUUCAGGUUUUUUUGUCCUUAAAAUUCGAUGAAGAUCUUGGGAAGUCGAAAAGAAUGGAAGACGAUGACAAAGUCAAGAAGAAGAAGCGGUGGCAAAAUCAGGAGGGCUCAAAACAGUUGAAAGGCAAUGAUAAAAAGAAAAGUAGACAGGAAUUGAUGGCAAAGACAAGAGAAGAAGUAUGUUUAGACCUCUUACCUUUUUUUGAUCGUAUUGUUUUGCGCUGCAAUCAAUACUUUGCUUGAUUAAUCAGGAACAUUUCUUUUUAGUUUUAACAAAAAUUAGGAGUUUGAUUGUUCUCUGUAGGUUGAUGCAGAUUUUAAGGCUGUUUCAUUUUCUCUGGACGCUGUGGAGCAAAGAAGGAUGCAGUCAGAAACACUCUCUGCAGUUUUUGAGACUUAUUUUCGCAUUUUGAAGUACAGCAUGGACCCUUCUGCUUCAAGGUGUGUUUUUUUAUCUAUAAUGGCAAGCUACUUUUUUCAAAUUUAGGCCCCUACAAUUUGGUUGUGGCUUUAGCUUCCUUCCCGAAUUCCAGUUAUAACACUUUUCCUAAUUUUCAAUUCUGAUAUCAACUUUGUCCAGUUCCAGUUUUAAUAAUUUAGUGCCUGAACUUCGAUCCUAAGUUUUGUCGUCAGUUUUAAUUUCGGUGAUAGGGCGUCAGUCUUGGUGCUGAUCGGGCACCUUUUUUCAGAUGAUACUCCAACAGAACAGACUUCAUUGAUAUGCAAGACCAAAUUUCAGGGACAAAAUUGUUACUAUUCAAAACUGUGACGACUAGAUUGAAAUUGACUAAAAUAUUCAAGUAUCCUACGUGUUGGAUUCUCUUCUCUUUUAUAUUUUUUGACAAAAAUGUAUGGAACUUGAAUUAUGGCACGUUUUAAUCCAACUACCUAACUUUAAAAAUUUUGAUUCUGCUACCUAACCUUUUAAUUCAUAUGAUUUGAGAGAUUUAAUAACUCUGACAUUUCAAAAUUUAAAUUUGUUGUUUAUUUUACGGCCUUGAUCAGCAUAUUUCAGGUAAUUUGUGCGACUGCAAUUCCGUUAAAGUUAGUAAUGUGCCUAAAUUUUGUAUUGGAAGAACCAUCAAAUGGCUUAAACCUGAUAAAUUGAAAGGUUGGUUACCAAAAUAAAAAAUUUAAAAGAUUGGGUAGUUAAUUCAAAAUAGACCAAAGUUUAGAUAAGUUCUAUACAUAUUUACCAUAUUUUUUCUUGGAUGAACAUACUAGUGGCCAUAUAAUAGCUUCAACAAAAUAGACUAUAUUUUUUCUAAGGCAUCAUAACUUAAUUUUGUUUGAAACCUGAUUCAAGAUUUGCAUUUCAUGGCCUUGAGAAAUUGUCUCGUAUUAAAUUUGUGUAAUUCAUGGAUGUACCUCCCAAUUAUUUGGGCUCUCUUUAAUGAAGCUGCAAAUUAGUAGGUGAUUACACCUUAAAAAAAGUAGCGUGGCUUUUAUAACAAAUUAAAUUUAAUGGGUCAACUUGCAGUUGGGAAAAAGCUAGUAGGUGUUCAUGUUCAACAAUUCUAUGAUCUAGAGUUCGAGUUUUAAUGUUUUGACAAAUUUUCUAGUUAUCAAUAAGCUGAUAUACUAUUCUAACUAUUUCAGGCCUAAAAUCAAUGCUGCUUCUUUGGCUGGUGGAGUUGGACCGCAUCCGUUGCUUGCUUCUUGCUUGGAUGGGCUUGGAAAGUUCUCACAUUUGAUUGAUUUGGAUUUCAUGGGUGAUCUAAUGGGCUGCUUGAAAAAGCUAGCUGGGUUCAGUGAACAGCACCAAGAUAGUGGUGCUUCAGAUCAGAGUUCUCUAUCUGUAACAGAGCGACUGCAAUGUUGCAUAGUGGCUUUUCGAGUAAUGAGGAGCAAUCUUGAUGCCCUAAAUGUAGAUUUACAGGACUACUUUGUUCAGCUUUAUAACCUUAUACUCGAGUAUCGGCCUGACAGGUUCAGACACAAACUCUUCCUAAUAUCUGUAUGGUGCAGACUUAGCUUAUACACUUGAAACACAGAUAUAACCCUUUGCAGUGAUACUUUUCUUUCACUUGUUUUGGAUGCUGGGAUCACUUUUCCGGCUUAUCCCUUGCUUGCUCGGUGACCAUUUGGUUUCUAGUUAUUGGAGGCAUCAAAAGAGGCCCAGAAUUGAGUAAAAUGAAAUAGGUUAUCCCAAUAUGCGAGAACAUGAUUUGGUGAAAUGCCUUAUGUUGAAAAAUUACAAUUAUAAGGAACUUGCAAAAACUCUUGCUUUACUGAUCCAUGGAUAAUUUCUUAGUUUCAUACCAAUGACAAUACUACCAAAUUGAAGAUUCAUUUUUCAUUCAUCUGAAUGUUGUCUAAAUUAUAUUUAACCACUUAAUCUGUUAAAUCUAUGAAUGAACCAGUAGUAAGUGGCUUACUGUAUAUGCAUGCAGAGACCAGGGCCAGGUGUUGGCUGAAGCUUUAAAGACGAUGCUAUGGGAAGGCAGGCAACACAAUAUGCACAGAGCAGCAGCUUUCAUAAAACGUCUCGCCUCGUUCUCGUUGUCCUUUGGCUCGGCAGAAGCCAUGGCGGGUAUAAUAUUUUCUUCCCUUUUCAUGGUACUGUUUGUCCUGGUUUCUAGAAUAACUUUUGCACUCCAAACGCAAUAGUGUUUGGCAAACAAAGAGAUGGAAACUCGCUCUGCAGCAGGUGGAUCAACAGGCUUUUAAAACCCCAAAUUAGAAGGUCUGCACCUUAUUUGUCUCUGUUGAAUGGGUUAUAGUGCUGUUUGAUGAAAUAUUAUAUAAGUAGUGCUACUAUUAUAAGCACUAAAAGCUUUUUCAUUAAUAUAAGAAAGAGCAGCUUCUCUCCAUAGUGCAAUCAGCUGCAAAUUGACACUUUAUUUUUGGGGCUGAUAAAAUCAUUGUUGCCUCCCACAAUAAACAGAAGCUCAAGACGUUUUUGUUUGCAAAAUGUUCUGCUUAAGGUGACUGCAAUGGAAAGCAGAAGCAGAAGAAGCAGCUAGGGCAAAAGGGCGCUUGAUUUUGAGCUUCUUCUUCUACUGUAGCCAAAAGCCGUUGAGUUUCUAAUGGAAAGCACACUGUUAGUUCUUCUUCAGAUAGUUAUGCUGACCUCCAAAUGAUCCAAAAAGACUAAAGUUAGCAGAGCAAGCCUUGCCUUUUCCACGCAUUCUUUUGUGUGCUGCAAAUUAUUCUUGCUAGUGACUACGACCAAUUAUGAACUGCACAAUUCUUUUUGAGGAAUUUCUCUAGUUUAAAUUGCUAGUUGGAAAUCCUGUGUUAAUUUUCCAUAUCUUUACUAUGCAUUCAGCUUUGGUCACACUAAAGCAUCUCCUGCAAAAGAAUAGCAAGUGCCGUAACCUAUUGGAAAAUGAUGCUGGUGGAGGUUCACUCUCUGGUUUAGUUGUGGUAAGGCCUUUGUCAAUUUCUUAUUUACACUCCCUUCUAUAUUUGGCGCUUUUAUGUGUAUUCAUCCCUAGGAAUCAUCUAUUCACAUACAUAUCCCUGCAAAAUCUGAGUUAAAGUGUACCCUUGAAACAUGUGGCUUUAUACAAAAUUGUCGGCACCUUAAGUUGGGAAGUCGCCCGAUUCAAGUGGGGAGAGUUGGGUUUGUAUUGGAAAAUGCUUUGAUGGGCAUGUAGGAAAAUUUAAAUUUUCAGUGAUUAACAUAUAAAGAGAUGAAUUUUCAGGGUUUUAGAUGUAAAAGUCUCCUUAUAAUUUGCUAACUAUUGUUUGAUUUGCCUAUACAGAAAUACCAACCGGAGGCUACAGACCCAAACCUGAGUGGUGCACUUGCUUCAGUUCUUUGGGAGCUUAGCCUUCUAAUGAAUCACUACAACCCUUCGAUUUCCUCAAUGGCUGUGAGUAUUUCGAGCAUGGCGAACUUGAACCCUGACCAGAAUCCGGUUUCUCUUUAUGCCGCCUCUCCUCUACAAGCCUUUGUUGACUUCUCAAUUGAACGAGAGCUCUUAAAGCCGGUUGGCAAACCUCUCUCUUUGAACCAAAAAAGGAAAAGGGAGAACAGAGAGGGGUUUUCUGCAUUCAGUCCUGAUCAAAUUCAACUGGUGGGAAGCUUCAUUAAUGAGGAUCGCGUGAAAAAGAAAUUGGAAGACCAUUUCAAACUGCUUAGAGAUAUCAGGGAGAACGAGAGAUUUCGGAGCGAGUUGAACUGCACGAAGUGGUCCAUUGAUUUGUACGAAGAAUACGAGAGGCAGAGAAAGUAAAUCGAUAACUCGAAGACUCAUCGAAAAAAGAAAGGUGGCAAGGUUUUGUGAAGCCUACAUAUUUUCAAAUCCUAGGUGAAUUUUUGCAAUGUCCAAUAGUUAAUUAAUUUGAAUGAGAUAUAUGGAGUAGUGCGAAGAAAUUGCUCCUUUUUGGCUGAAUGAAUUGUUCUACUUUCUUUCUGACAUUUGUGCGAGACUAGUUUAAAUUUAUGUUUAUUUUUCCUCUUCUUUCCAAUGAUCAUAGAGGAGUCGUUGAUACUGUAAUAUGUUAAGGAUUGCUAUGCUAGCCGGCAUGCCCCUAUCAAUAAGUCCGUAUUGACAUAUAAAAUGAGGUAUACGCUGAGGCUUGUCGGCAUGCUGUGUUGUGUCGUGCUGUGCCAUGCUGCUGGACGCAUCGAUGCACUCCGUGCUAGUUGCACGACCAGUUUUGGUAACGCUAGUUGCACGACCAGUUUUGGUAACGUGAAGUUUGUAUUUUUAAACUUUUAGUCGUGGAAAUGCGCCUUGAAUUGUUGUUUUUUUGUGUUAGCUAAUCCUUCAUAUAGCUUGCGGACUUGGGGAAAUUUUUUCUUGACAGUCUUAAUUAUGCCAUAAGCGAAGUAAAAUCAAACCAAAACCAAAUAAAGCUAAAUUGAAUCAUAUAAAGUCUAAAUUAUUUAUCAAUAGAUAAAAGAGUGAAAUCAAAAACUGAAAAUGCCAUCUGGUCGGGACCUCUAUCGCUCGCUAGUUACGUCCUCAUGCUUCAUUCUGACUCGUGCCUCCAAGAUCACUUGAAAUGGGGGGUUGAGAAACCAACAAGGGUUUUCAUGGGGGGGGGGGAAGGGGCUCCUAGUGGGUACGACAAGCCGACGAGGGCGAGUGUACUCACUAGUAACCAAAAGAUAGCUAUAAAAAGUAAUACAAUAGCAAUGCCAAAUAGGAAACAAAUAUAUGUGCAAUUACCGCUACUGUAAAUAACAUGCAUCAACCGGACGAUCAGUCCCAAAAUACUCAAUCCAGAAUCCGCCGUGUUGGUCUAAGGACCUCAGGCAAAUGCUGCGCCGCUCUAAAUAGUAUAUGACCCUAGUAUAAGCUCCUGGGCUCACGAGUCGGAAGUCCGAUCACUUUUUCGGAAAAGAACACCGUUGCAGUGGCCAAACCGCUAGUGUACGUGAAAUGCGUACGAGUAGUGACAAUCGAUGCAAAUAUGAUGAAUAGCCGUCGGUAAGUAGCCAACAAUCAACCCCUCAGGGUGUGCCGACCGAAUAGGUCAUCAAAUAGCCAGAAUGUCAAAACCGACCAACUGGGUCACAAUUGGUGUCACAUCACACACAGAUAUACUCAACAACCGCUCUACUCUUAGAUCAUGAUAAUCAAAUGCAAAAACAACUGAGUAGAGCAUCAUGUAUUGAAGUUAUAUGGUGCUAGGCUCAACAAUCAUAGGUAAUGCGAGGAACAUAAAGAGAGAGAGAGAGAGAGGGGGAAGGAACGUUACCGAGCGUGCACCACCAGAUCGAUUUCGGAUCGAAGUACCCACCUGUACCACUGUUGCACCUGUCUCCUUGAUGCGCGAGAAGUCAACCAGACCUAUAAGGGGUUCGCCGGAUUAGAGUCUAACCCACUGACUCAAAACGCAAUACUCACAAUCCCCACAAUUUUUCAUAGAAUCGGUUUCCUAAAAACCGAUCUCCGUAACUCGUCGGAAGUCUCGAAAAUCACAUCGGGAUGCCGCCGAGACCCACGAAGUGCCUCGAAACGCACCGGCUCAUGUCACGAGUCACCCGCUGCCUCGAAACACACCAUUUUGGGUGUCCUGGCAGCCAACACCAAAACUCACGUCGAAACGAUUAUUGUCGGAUAACUGUUCCGAUCCAGGUUCCCGGAAGUGUCAAUUUCGACACUGAAACCCUCCGCCGCUCACUUGUCGUCUCCGAAUACUCGAAACAACGUAGGUGACCAACCAAUAAGGCUCAACGGCAAAUCCUAAGGCAUCCCAAUAGCGUCGGAUAAAAUCCGAAUGGAACCGCGUUCCGUCGGUGAAUUUCGUCGAAAAACGCACCGAAACCAAUAUUUGGUCUCCACGAAAGGUUUUGGACCUUGGACGAUCAGUCUAGAGGUCAUCAACCACACACACAUGCUGCCCACAACAGCCGUGAGAUGACAAAUUAUGUAAAAGCCCUUACUAUUAGCCAUUAUUACAUUAAUACAUGCAAAACGAGGGAUUUUAGGACUUGUACCGCUAACCGAGUGUUUUCGAGGUCAGUCGAGACACGGGCUGACAGGUCUCGACGAGGUAGAGGCUGUGUUCGCUGUCUGGAGCACCACAGAUUGCUGUGGAAUGCACAGGAGCAAGUUGAAGUUCAGCGAUCGAUGCAACCGAGGAGCAAUAGGGCCGAACUUGCUGAUUUGAGACGUGCCAACAGGAAACAAGGUGAGCACUGUGAUUGGCACCGACCAGGGGUCACGGUGCUCGCCUCCGGAGGUGUCGGAACUAACUCGGGUCUCUAGAACAAUGAAAACCCACCAAAACAACCCUACUCGAGCCUGUUGUGAACAACUAUGCUCUGGUCGGUCGCCGGCGGGGCGGCGGCGCACGCCAGCCGACGGUGGGAGGCUGCGGCGGCAGCAGCGCUGAACUAACCCAAGCCCGCCUCGGUUAGGCUUUGGUCCCCAGCUGCUCGGUAGCGGCAUCGACGGUUGGGGGUACCAUGGGGGGGCGGCGACAGGUUGUCAGAAACCUGAAUGAGGCAGCAGAGGUGGCCCCGGGCGGCGGCGACGCGGGGAAGGUGUUGUUGGCCUAGUGGUCCUAAUCUUCUAUUAGAUUUUGAUGAUAACAAAUAAUUACGAUUAUUGGACUAAUCCUUUAUCUUGAGUUUUGUGUUUUAGAUCUCUCUAUAUUCAAAAAGGAUUCAAGAUGGGCAAUAUUCUAGCACCAAGCUUCACCACUUGAAGCUAUGCUUGCUUCCUUUGUCAAAUAGACAAACUCACUCUCUUUUUUUUUAAUUUAAUUAAUAUUAUGCUUAGAGUGAGAAAUUUUGAGCUAUUCAUUUUUAUCACCUUAUAGAUCACUUAAACAAAUUUCUAACUUGUGAUUAGGUGCAUAGAAUUUUAAAAUAUUCAAAAAACUGCUCAAGUUCUGUGUUCUGUAAGUUACAAUUUCUGGACCCUGUUCUGGGCGCCCUAAAGUGGAUCCGAAUCUUUUGAGAUUUUUUGGAUCCUGCUUGUUUGCUGUUCGGGUGAUCCAGAAACUUCUGGGCACCAUUACUUCAAAUUAGGACAACCAAGGCUAUUUGACUUGACAGGUUGCAUAUCAGCCCAAAAAGCUCUGACAGCAGGCGGUGCGCAAUCUGGGCGCCCAGAUUUUAUGGAAGCCCAAAAAUGAUCUUGGUCAGAGAAAGUGGCGCACGCAAUCUGGGCUGUCUGGCAAGAAAGUCAACACGAGUUUCUGGGCGCCCACAACUUUUGACGGCUCAAAUCCAGAGAAAAAAUGGCGCAUGUCAGAAAAGUUGUCCCUCGAGAUCUGGGCGCCCAUAAUUUCUGACGGCCCAAAUCCAGAGGAAGCGGCGCGUGUCAGAAAAGCUGUUCCUCGUGUUCUGUGCGCCCACAACUUUUGACGGCCCGAACAUACAAAGUCAAGAAAAGCGGCGCACGUGGUCCGACAGGCAGCUGGCGUGCACAACUUCUGGGCGCCUGGAAACAGGUUUAGGGUGCCCGAAAGUACAACGGACAAAAACUGUCCGAGGCUAUAAAUAGAUGGUAUUGAGGCCCUUCUCUGCAGCAACUUGAUAGUUCAUUUGAGCUUAAAAACUUCAGCGAUCUUAACACUCUUAGCUCUCAAUUCUCUCUCUAAACUUGAGUGAAAUUUGUAGUGAGAUUUAAUCUUGUAAAAAGAGAGAAAAGCAAAGUCUUGAAGCUUGAAAGAAGAAGGAGUUGGUGUGAAGGCUUGGUGCUUGCCCGCAAAAGCAUCAUCUAGUGGAGAUCCAACAUUCUCGAGUGUUGAGAAGUUGGCGGGGACGUAGGCAAAGUGCCGAACCUCGAAACAAAUUGAUCGUGUGCUUUUCGAGUUUGCAUUUCUUUUAUUUGCAUCGGUUUUUUAAUUUGCUUGAUUAUUUGGAUUUUUAUUUUAGAAACCUAAUUCACCCCCCCUCUUAGGUUGCCAUUUUGAUCCUCAAUUGGUAUCAGAGCGAGGUCUCACAUUAUUUAGAUUAAAAUCUAAGUGAGAAUGGCAUCCACGGGAAAGAAUAUCGAAGGACAAUCUAUUGUUCGGCCACCAUUUUUUGAUGGGACCGAUUAUCCUUUUUGGAAGAUUAGAAUGAAGAUAUUCUUUCAAUCUCUAGAUUUUGAUAUUUGGGAUAUAAUCGAAAGUGGUUAUAUCGCUCCAUCAAAAUCAAGAGCGGAAUGGAAUGAAGCCGAAAAAUUUCGCUUUCAAUUGAAUGCUAAAGCUAUCAAUUCAUUCCUUUGCGCUCUUAGUAGAGAAGAGUUUCACCGAAUCUCUACAUGUACAACGGCUAAAGAGAUUUGGGAUAAAUUAGAAGUUACUCAUGAAGGUACUUCUAGGGUGAAGGAAUCUAAAAUAAGCAUGCUUAUGUCAAAUUAUGAACUAUUCAAAAUGGAGGAAAGUGAAUCCAUUUCGAAUAUGUUCACAAGAUUUACUAACAUUAUAAAUAGCUUGAAAGCCUUAGGUAAGGAUUUUCCUCAAUCGGACUUGGUACGAAAACUUCUUCGUGUACUACCAAGAAGUUGGAUACCUAAGGUUACGGCUAUCCAAGAAGCUCAUGACUUGGACAAAGUAAAAAUUGAUGAACUUGUUGGAUCACUCAUGGCGCAUGAACAACGCCUCAAAGAAUAUGACAACGAAGAGGCUCCUGAGAAAAAGAAAAGCCUUGCACUUAAGGGAGUCAUUGCUUCCGAGAGUGAAGAUGGCGAAGAAGGUUCGAGCGAAGAAAUCGCUAUGAUUUCAAAAAGGCUCGAUCGACUAAUCAAGAAGCGCAACUUGAGGAGACCUAAACGAGACGGGUUCAAAGGUGAAGGAUUCAAGAAAGGUAUCAUUUGCUACAAUUGUAAUAAACCGGGACAUUUGAAAAAUGAAUGCACUCUUCCAAACAAAACCUUUAAGAAAGACAAGAAAAAGAAAGCCUUCAAUGCACUAAAUUGGGACGCCCCCGACGAAUCUAGCGAUGAUGAAUCGGAAAACGAAGUUGCCCAAAUUUGCCUCGAGGAGCAAAGCUCAAUCCUAUGUCUUAUGGCUCUUGAAGAUGAGGUAAACAAUUUAAGUUAUGAAGAACUUUUAGAAGCUUUCUUUUCUUUAUAUGAUAAUCUACAAAGUUUGGGUCCCAAGUAUACAUCUCUCAAAAAGCAAAAUGCCUUAUUAGAGAUGGAGGUUAACAACUUAAAAUUUUCAACUUCAAAUCCUUCUUUAAUACUUGAAAAUGAGGACUCUUUACUCACGAAAGAGCUUAAACAAGCUAAUGAGACAUGUUGUAGUCUCAUUCGUGAAAAUGAAGCAUUAAAGAAGAAAAUUGAAGAUCUAAAUUUUAAGCCAAUUCUUCAUUAUGACAAACAAUUUGAAAAACUUCAAGUUGAAAACCAACAACUCAAAGUUAGCUUAGGUGAAACUAAGAGAACUCUUGAGAAAUUCGUUGGAGGAACCAAGUAUCUAAAUAUGAUGCUUGGAAAUCAAGUUGUAAACUUCAAAAAGUUUGGGAUAGGUUAUGUUCCUAAUCCAAACAAUGUUAAAUUGACAAAAGCUAAGAGAAAGGUUUUUGUUAAAAGUACAACUCAAAACCCAACUUUGCAUUGUUCCUAUUGUAAUAUUAAAGGACAUCAUAUUUUCUCUUGUAAAUAUAAGAAGAAUCCUAAACUUAACCAAAUUUGGGUUGUGAAAGGUUUAUCUAACACAAAAGGACCCAAUCUCACUUGGGUACCAAAGUUAAAAACUUGAUUUGUUUUUGUAGGUGUGUCUCCAAUCAAAAGGUGCAAGUGACAAAUGGUACUUAGAUAGCGGAUGCUCAAGACACAUGACUUGGGAUCAAACCAAGUUUAAAUCAAUUGAAAUGAAAGAUGGAGGAUUUGUCACCUUUGGAGACAACACUAGAGGAAAGAUCAUUGGAAUCGGCACAAUCGGUGAUGAAAAGGUUAACAUUUCCAAUGUUCUUUUAGUUGAUGGCCUUAAACAUAAUUUACUAAGUAUUAGUCAAUUAUGUGAUAAAGGCUAUUUUGUAAAGUUUGAAGCAUCUCAUUGUAGCAUUCUUGAUCCUUCUACAAAUGAGGUAGCUUUUAUGGGUUUUAGAUCCAAGAAUGUUUAUACCGUUGAUUUAGGCAAACUCUCACAUGAAGGUGAAAAAUAUUUUUCGGUUCAAACUAACGAAUCUUGGCUUUGGCAUAGAAGGUUAGCACAUGCUAAUAUGGAUUCUCUUUCUAAACUUUUCAAAAGAAAACUUGUAAAAGGUUUACCUAAAAUAGACUAUGCCAAAGGUGAGGUUUGUAAUACUUGUGCUCAAGCUAAGCAAGUAAAAUCAUCUUUUAAAUCCAAAAAUAUUGUCUCAACAACUAGGCCUUUAGAAUUGAUUCAUAUGAAUCUCUUUGGACCAAUUGAUGUCUCUAGUCUUGGUGGAAGCAACUAUGUUUUCGUAAUUGUUGAUGAUUACUCAAGAUUUACUUGGACUUUAUUUUUAAGACACAAGUAUGAUACUUUUAAAUCCUUUAAGGACUUUGUCUAUCGUGUUCAAAAUGAAAAGAAUUGUAUAAUUUUCAAAAUUAGAAGUGAUCAUGGAGGUGAAUUCGAAAAUCAUAACUUUGAAGAGUUUUGCAAUGAAUUGAGAAUAGAACACCAAUUUGCUACCCCUAGAACACCUCAACAAAAUGGGGUUGUUGAACGCAAAAAUAGAUCUCUUCAAGAAAUGGCUAGAUCUAUGUUAAUUGAGGGGGAGUUGCCUAAAUAUUUUUGGGCCAAAGCCGUAAACACGGCUUGCUUUAUUAUGAACCGUGUUCUAAUUCGACCAAUCAUUGAAAAAACUCCUUUCGAAUUAUGGCAUAAUAGAUCUCCCAAUAUUGGUUACUUCAAAAUCUUUGGUUGUAAAUGUUUCAUUUUAACCACAAAAGACAAGUUGGGAAAAUUCGAUGCUAAAUCCGAUGAAGCAAUAUUCUUGGGUUAUUCCUCUACUAGUAAAGCUUAUUGAGUGUAUAAUCGAUGAACUUUAAUAAUAGAGGAAGUAUGCAUAUUCUCUUUGAAGAACAUAAGGGAAAGGAUAUUUCUUGUGAAGAUGAUCUUCUUGACUUUGAGAAGCUAAAUAUAAACCCCACACCUCAAGAAGUUGAACAAUCUAAGGAAAGUAGGGAGUUCAUUUCAAAAGAGAUUGAACCCACUCCUUUACCUAAAGUGUGAAAAUUUGCUACUUAUCAUCCCAAGAACUCUAUCAUUGGAGAUCCAAGUCAAAAUGUCAAGACAAGAUCCUCUCUUAGAUUACUUUGUGACUACUUGGCUUUCAUAUCUCAAAUUGAACCUAAAAAUUUUGUUGAAGCUAGCAAUGAUGAAAAUUGGCUCAUUGCGAUGUAAGAAGAACUUAACCAAUUUGAGAGGAACCAAGUUUGGACGCUUGUGGAAAGGCCAAGUGAUCAUAUUGUUAUUGGCACUAAAUGGGUCUUCCGAAACAAGCGAGAUGAAUUCGGUGUUGUGGUUCGAAACAAUGCUAGACUAGUGGCCCAAGGUUUCAACCAAAUUGAAGGAAUUGAUUUUGAUGAAACAUUUGCACCAGUUGCUAGACUUGAAGCUAUUUGAAUUCUUCUAGAAUUUGCCUCUUAUAUGAAUUUCAAAUUAUUUCAAAUGGAUGUAAAAAGUGCUUUCUUAAAUGGAUACAUUUCUGAAGAAGUUUUUGUUGAGCAACCACCUGGCUUUGAAAAACAUAACUUUCCGGAUCACGUUUUUAAGCUUUCAAAAGCACUUUACGGUUUAAAACAAGCUCCUAGAGCCUGGUAUGAAAGACUUAGCACUUUUCUUACUUCAAAUAAUUUUUCAAGAGGAAAAGUUGACACCACAUUAUUUAUCAAAAUUAAGGAUAAAGAUUUUCUCAUUGUACAAAUUUAUGUGGAUGAUAUCAUAUUUGGUGCUACUAAUGAAUCUCUUUGUAAAGAAUUCUCUAAGGUAAUGCAAAAUGAGUUUGAAAUGAGCAUGAUGGGCGAGCUCUCAUUCUUCCUUGGACUCCAAGUUAAAUAAAUGAAAGAUGGAAUAUUCAUUAAUCAAGCCAAGUAUGCAAAAGACCUAAUCAAAAGAUUUGGCUUGGAAAGCUCAAAAGAGACAAACACUCCAAUGAGUGCUUCAACUAAACUUGACAAGGAUGAAAAGGCAAGAAUAUUAGAGAUCAUAUUCAAAAAGAAGUUGUCACUAUAGAAUUUGUGGACACUCAUAAUCAAUUAGCGGACAUUUUUACUAAACCACUUAUUGAGGAUAGGUUCACUCAACUUAGAAGAGAAUUGGGAAUGAUUGAUUUAUCUGCUUGAUUUUCUCUUUUUGAUUGACUGUUAUGUUUGCCUUGCAUUUUAUUUUUGGAAACACCUUUUGCUUUGUGAAAAUUCCGGACGAAAAUUUUCGGUCACCUGAAAAUUUCCGGACGCCCGAAACAUGCAUUGACCGCAGUGCCUCGUCUGACCGACCUACCGGGUUACCGAGUUCUGGAUCCGGGAGACCGAUCCGACCUGCACUGGCGCCCGAAAACUCGCUUUGACUACCGUGCAGCUUUGACCGCCCUAGCGGGUUCCGGGUUGCGGAUCUGGGCGACCGCGUCGACUUGCACGAGCGCCCGAAACCCGCGAGCGGGCCCUCUUCGUCCCAGCCGCCCGACAGCUUCCUCCUUUCAUUUUUUUUUCUUUUUCUUCUCUUCUUUUUCCUCCUCCCAGUCCAGUCGUCCACUUCCUGCGCCCAGCCCGCAUCGGAUCCGCCCACAACUCCUCCAAAGCUCAGAUUUCCUCUCCUUCCUCUUCAAUCUGUGGUAUUUUUUUUUGCUGUUAGUAAUGUCCAUGCUCUUCCUCUUUUAAAUUUUUUUUACAAAUUUCUUGUACUUUGUGCAACUUAAUCUUUGUCAUCUACCUUGAUCUACAUCAUUUCAUCCUAGAUCUUGCAUCUUGUUCCCUUUUUUUUUGCAAACCCUAGUUUUUUUUAAAAAUAAGAAAAAAAAAAUGCCUAGAACUAAAAAUGAAUCCAGAGGCCCUUCAUAUAGAGAUUAUCAAAAUGAAGAUUUUGAUGCUUUUAACUUUGUAUCUAGAGAAGCUCAAGAUAAAUUUCUUUUAGGUCGUCCCGUUCAACCUUGCCGUAACAUUCAUCAUCUAAAUUUUGAUUGUUAUGAACUUUUAGAUAAGCUCACACAAGUUGGAUGGGAUUUCUUUGUUCAAAAUUCGCGACCUUUUUAUCCGGACCUAAUUAGGACUUUUUAUCCAAAUGCCACUUUUAAUUCCGAAUUUACUACUAUUACUUCCCACUACCGGGGACGUGUUUUUGCGAUCACUCCUAUCCUUCUUCACACCGUUUUAAACAUUCCAAAUGACGGGGUUUGCUACUACCAAACCAACACUUGGAACUUUCCCGCAUUUUCUGAGGCGCAACUCCGCAAUCAUUUUCUUUGCGAAGAUUCUACUUCACGAGAAGAUUGCUCUCAUCUUUCCUUUCCUCACCGCCUCGCCCACUUUUUACUUACUAAAGUAGUUCUUCCUCGAGACAAUCACCACACCGCUGUUCAAAAAAUGGAUCUUUUUCUUCUUUAUCAUCUAUUUGCGGGAAUCCGGGUUAAUUUGGGGUAUAUCAUCAUUCGCCACAUGGCCGUCGCAAUUUCUCAUCCCUCGCGCUCACUUCUAUAUGGCUCUUUGCUCACCGCCGUCCUCGAGUUCAUGUCAUUUGAUCUUUCCGAUGUGAGGCCGAUGAAAUACCCCACUGCCAUUUCUACAGCUACUUUCUCCACACUUGGCUUCAAGAAAAAUCGUCAUGGCAUUUGGGUAAGAAAACAUGUGAUUGAUUCGCCCAGCGAGCAUGGUGAUGACACUGACGACGCCGAGGAUGAUCCUAUGCCUUAUGAGCCGCCACCUCGAGCACCUUCUCCACCAGUUGAGCCGCCGCCACGAGCAUCUCCUCCACCCUUUGAGCCACCCCCUGCUGUGCCUCCGCCUUAUGCUCCUCCUCCUAUGGAUUUUCAAAACUAGGUUUUUAAUCGACUUGAUAGGAUGGAAGAACAUAUGCAUGCUCUACAGACAGAUGUUUCCGGCAUCAAGGCAUACAUGGACUCUAUCUUUGGACCUUCUAGUGCCUUUUAUGCCGCGUAUGGACCCCACGUUGAUCGACCAUCCUCCUCCACUAUGCCUCCACCAGUUUCGCCUACGGAUCAUGAGGACGAUGAAGAGGAUGACGACGAUGAUGAUGAUUAGCUUAUGUUUCUACCACUUUUUGCUCGUCUCCUUUUAUGCUUUUUUUUUUUGUGAUGACAAAGGGGGAGAACUUGCUAUGUGAUAUACUAUGUUAUGCUUGUGGUUUAUUAUGCUGCUUAUGUUUUAUUAUGCUAUGCUAUGUGAACCUCGUUUACAUUUUGAUAUUUGCCUACAUGGUUGCUUACUUCCUUUAUUGUGAUAUAUGCUAUGCCUAUGAUUGUGUUAUAUGCUUGUUAAAUAUAUGCAUAUAUUUAGGGGGAGUAUUCUACUUUUUUGCUUUCUACUCAUUUGGAUAUUAUAUCACAUUAUUUGUCAUCAUCGAAAAGGGGGAGAUUGUUGGCCUAGUGGCCCUAAUCUUCAAUUAGAUUUUGAUGAUAACAAAUAAUUACGAUUAUUGGACUAAUCCUUUAUCUUGAGUUUUGUGUUUUAGAUCUCUCUAUAUUCAAAAAGGAUUCAAGAUGGGCAAUAUUCUAGCACCAAGCUUUACCACUUGAAGCUAUGCUUGCUUCCUUUGUCAAAUAGACAAACUCGCUCUCUUUUUUUUUUUAAUUUGAUUAAUAUUAUGCUUAGAGUGAGAAAUUUUGAGCUAUUCAUUUUUAUCACCUUAUAGAUCACUUAAACAAAUUUCUAACUUGUGAUUAGGUGCAUAGAAUUUUAAAAUAUUCAAAAAACUGCUCAAGUUCUGUGUUCUGUAAAGUUACAAUUUCUCGACCCUGUUCUGGGCGCCCUAAAGUGAAUCCGAAUCUUUUGAGAUUUUUUGGAUCCUGCUUGUUUGCUGUUCGGAUGAUCCAGAAACUUCUGGGCACUAUUACUUCAAAUUAGGGCAACCAAGGCUAUUUGACUUGACAGGUUGCAUAUCAGCCCAAAAAGCUCUGACAGCAGGCGGCGCGCCAUCUGGACGCCCAGAUUUUAUGGAAGCCCAAAAAUGAUCUUGGUCAGAGAAAGCGGCGCACGCAAUCUGGGCUGUCUGGCAAGAAAGUCAGCACGAGUUUCUGGGCGCCCACAACGUUUGACGGCUCAAAUCCAGAGAAAAAACGGCGCAUGUCAGAAAAGUUGUCCCUCGAGAUCUGGGCGCCCACAAUUUCUGACGGCCCAAAUCUAGAGGAAGCGGCGCGUGUCAGAAAAGCUGUUCCUCGUGUUCUGUCCGCCCACAACUUUUGACGGCCCGAACAUACAAAGUCAAGAAAAGCGGCGCACGUGGUCCGAUAGGCAGUUGGCGUGCACAACUUCUGGGCGCCCGGAAACAGGUUUAGGGCGCCCGAAAGUACAACGGACAAAAGCUGUCCGAGACUUUAAAUAGAUGGUAUUGAGGCCCUUCUCUGCAGCAACUUGAUAGUUCAUUUGAGCUUAAAACUUCAGUGAUCUUAACACUCUUAGCUCUCAAUUCUCUCUCUAAACUUGAGUGAAAUUUGUAGUGAGAUUUAAUUUUGUAAAAAGAGAGAAAAUCAAAGUCUUGAAGCUUGAGAACGGACUGUGCCAACGCUUCUGGCACUGUCGAACCAUCGAGACCAUGAUUUUGUUUCACCUGAAUUGGUUACAAAUUUUGAAUGCAAAUUUAAAUAUCCAAAUCAAAAUAAAAAAAUUUAAGUUUGAAAUCAAAAUUUAAAAAUUUAAGUUUGAAUCAAAAUUUAAAAUUUGAAUUCAAAUUAUAAUUCAAAUUCUAAUUACUAAUUAGUUAAAAAUUUUAAUUUUAAGAUUAAUUCUCAAUUUAAAUUCAAAAUUUUGAAUUUUUAUUUUUGGAGACUAAAGUGAAAAAUAUGCAAAGUUUAGGAACUAAAAUUGACUUGUAAAAGAAAGCUAAAUAGAUGAUGGCAUGAUAAUGUCGUUAAUUUUAAAACCUCUUUUAAUAGUGUCAUUUUAUUGUGACGAAAUCAAAAGAUUUGGAAAUGUGAUUGCAAAAAAAAGAUUAGGGAUCAAAAUAAAAAAUAGUAGAAAGGUUCGGGACCAAUGUGCAAUUACUUCUUAAAAAUAUUACAUGUGGGCCCCACAACCCUCCAAAAUAAGGAGAGGCCUUAUUUAGGGUUGGGAAUUCAUGUUUACACACACACACACACACACACACACACACACACACACACACACAGUAAGUCUUGUGUGCUAUUAAGGGCAUGGAGGUGUCCAUGCUCCUAAGCCAUUUUCGAUGAUGUAGCUUUCGAAUCGACGAUCGGUUUCAUUAGACUUGAUCUAGUGUAUUUGAACUAUAUAGAAAAUAAAAUUUGUGAUUUUUUGAUAUCAUUUACCUAGUGAUCGAAAGGACUCAAAAUCAAUGGUUGAAAAUAAAAAUCUCACGAAAAGUUGUGAUGUAGUACUAAAAUUGUCGAUCAGAGGUAUUGAUCUUGUUGUAGAUAGUAUAAAGAAUUCUCUAUUAAAAUUUCAUCUAAUUUGAAUAUUUCUACACCAUUAAACUUGCAAAAGGUAUACAUUAACCAUUAAAAAUUAUUGAUUUUGAAUCGAUCACUAGGUAAAUGAAAUUGAAAAACUGCAAUUUAUUUUCUAGAUACUUCAAAUAUACUAGAUCAAGUCCAAUGGAGCCGAUCUUCGAUUCGGAAACUCCAUCAUCGAAAACAGCUUAGGAGCACGGAGGCAUCCGUGCUCCUAAUAGCACACAAGACCUACUCUCUCUCUCUCUCUCUCUCUCUCUCUCUAUCUAUCUCUAUAUAUAUAUAUAUAUAUAUAUAUAUAUAUAUAUAUAUAUAUAUAUAUAUAUAUAUAUAUAUAUAUAUAGAGUGUGGCUACUAUNGAUAAAGAUAAAGAUAAAGAUAAAGAUAAAUAUAAAAUUGACAUGCAAAAGAAAACUAAACAGAUAAUAUCAGGAUAAUGUCGUUAAUUCUAAAAUCUUUUUUAAUAGUACCAUUUUAUUGCGAUAAAUCAAGAGAUUUGGAAAUUUGAUAGCAAAAAGAAAAGAUUAAGGACAAAAAUAAAAAAUAGUAGAAAGAUUGGGGACCAAUGUCUAAUUAAUCCUUAAAAAAAUUGUAUGUGGGUCCCACAAUCCCCUAAAAUAGGGGGAUGCCUUUUUAGGGUCGGGGUAUUUUGCAGCACUAUAGAUUUUUUUUCCCAUCGUAACAUUUUAUUAAAUGUUCAUCUACUUCUCCCUCCCCCCAUUCUUCUCCCCAUACUGCUCGUACGGGCAUUUUUCCUUUUCACAUGCCUUCCUAAUUCUAACCCACCUCCUCGACAACUCAUCCAUCCUCAUUCUCCUCCUCAUCCUCCCAGCCCCCUCCCUUCUUGCUCUCUUUGUUGAUUGCCGUCGCCUCUGCCGCCUCACCAUCGUCGACCUCCUCCGGGAGCACCUCUUCAACGUCAUCGCGGUCGAUGGCGGUGAGAAGUGGCAGAGCGUCAGGUGGCGGCGACGCCACAAACGGAGCUGCCGUCUAGUAUACGUAUUUAAUUAGACACAUCUUUUUUUUACCCCUUUUUUUCUUUUUAAUUUUUAUCUGAUUUACGAUUUAAUUCUCUAUGCCUAUACCUUCACCUCGCUUGACGGUCCAAGCAAGAAUCGCCGCCUCGCCACUGUCGACAUCCUCUGGGAGAACCUCUUUGCUGCCGCCAUGGUCGAUGUUGAGAGGAAGCGGUGGAGCGUCGAGUGGCGGUGGCGACACCAUUGAGUCUAUGUACUAAAUUAGGCUCUGUUUUUUACCCUUUUUUUAAUUUUUUAUUUAUGAUUUUAUGAUUUUAAAUUUUCAAUGCUCAUACCUUCUCCUUUCUUGCUGGUCCCGUGUUUUUUGCUCUAUGGGCCUUCUUAUGUCGUUUGUCCCAUUCCCUUUCUCAUAUAACGUACACCCCCAUCCCCUUUAUUUUUCUUCUCUGAACUUUCCCUUGCCCUCUCCCCAACAACCUCUUCAUCUCCAACACCCCAACAGCCUAUUCUUCCUCCUCCCGAACAACCUCUUCUCUUUGUAUUUUCUGUUAGGUGGGGCCUGCUCACAUUCCCCCUAUGUCUCAUUUCAAGUGCUGUGCAUCCCCCAUCCCACUUCUUUCCAGUAUCGUACAUCUCCCUAUUCCACUUCUCAGUGUUCUCCUAUGCUCUCACAUGUCCCUCUCUCUCUCUCCAACAAUCCCUUCUUCUCCAUAUACUCCCUGCUCCCCACCCCCUCCUCCUCGCUCCUUCCGCCGCCUGGCACCCCCUUCUCCUCGCCCCUUUCGCCACUGCCUUUCUCUCCUCAUCUUCUGCCGCCACUUGCACCAGCUUUGUGAUAGCUAUGGCUGAAUCUGUGGAUGAGUAGGUGAGCGGACGUGAGCGAUGCUCGCGGUGACGGCGGCAUGGGGCGCCGGUGGUGGUGGUUGGACAAGGAGGCGAUGGAUGCGGGGAAGGCUGCAACGAGGAUGGAAUAACGAUGGAAUCGGAAGGAGUGGGAUGAAGAAGAACAAUAAUGAAAAAAAUAACAGCAGCAACAACAAUAGCGAUAACGGGAAUAAUGGAACGAUGGAUAAGAGGUUUAAGAUGUGGUCCCCCUCGGAAGCUCUGCCGAGGAAUGGGCGGUGGGGGGUUAUGUGUUCAUCUGCUACAACAAGGCCAUGGAGCAGAAUCUUCGAAGGCAACUCUUUAGUAUGUGAUCAACAUCACUCUCUCUAAUUAAUUCAAUUUCUUUUUCUAUCCUUUCUUUUUUUCCUUUUCUCUUUUUUCUUCUUUUUUAAUAUCUCUUUGAGGAAGAUAGAAUUUUUUUUCGAUUAAGAUUCAAUUUUAUGUGUAUUUCUAAUGUGUAUGUUGAAUUCAGAUGGUUUUAGAUGGUUUUGACAGAUCAAAUAUAAUAGAAGUACAUAAUGAAAAAUCGGUUGAAUUGUAGUUGUAAAUGCCGGGUAAAAAAGAAGAGAAAAGAAAGCAAAUUGAAUGUUCUUAAAUCCUGUUCAGCCUGUAUCUCACGGAAUGUAGGGCCCACCAUUCCAUUUCACUCACCAUCUCUCUCCCCUUUUCUCGACCCUUCUCAUCCUCUCUCACCCACUUCCUCUUCCCUUGCCCAUACCCCUCUCACCUACUCCCUUUCCCUCUUCCAUCCACCGUCCCAUCUCUCUGAUCUGUCGCCAACUCGUCGUAUCCGCAAACCCUCUUCCUCUCCCUGUCAACCUUCUUUUUCCAAACCAUUCUCUCUCUCUCUCUCUCUCUCUCUCUCUCUCUCUCUCUCUCUCUUUUUCUCUCUCUACAACAUGAAUGGAGGAGUUGGGUGAUUGCGUCUAGAAGCAGCUUUUAGGCAUAUGGCAUGCAACAAGCUCAAAGCUUUUGCUCUAGUGGGAAGCACAAGUGUGCUUUUAGUACGCAAAAAUAGAAAUUCUUCUUUUGUACUACUGCUUUUGCUGUAGCUGGAAGCUGUGGAGAGGAUUUUGAUGAAAAACCUACUUUUUUAAAUGGCUCUACUCAAUUCUAGAAAAACCACACCCCAAAACAAACUCUUUAUUACUACAGAGACAAGGUUUAGUAAUAUAAUUUUCCCAACUCGAAAAGAUUUUAGUUUGUGCAAGCUCUGAUUAUUAAGGUUCUUCUCACUUAGUGCAUCAAAACCACCCAAAUAUUAAUAAGAAACAAAAAAUUAGGGAGAAACUGCACUAAAUGCCUUAGAUAAUGUGAUAAUUACCAAUUCUAUAUUCCAGCUUUCCAUCUAAAGUCUUAAUAGGAAGAGCAUCAGCAGGGUUCACUUGGAGCUCUUCUUCCUGAGCCUUCAAGAGAGCAGCUUUUUGAUUCCGCUUCUUGUAAAGCGCUUCCAAUUCAUCAUCUACGUGAUCCGCAACUCGCAUUAUGUGCGUUCAAAUCCACAAUCCACAAAAAAAGAGUAUAAAAACCUAAACAAUACACCAAAAAAUGAAUUUUUAUACUAACAACUGCGAGAAAACUUUUCUAUCAGAAGGAAAUCCUAAGAAAUCACUAGAUUACAAAACUAUCGAUCGAUUUUUUGUUGAGCUUGGUGAGGAAUCCAGCGUAUUUGAGAUUAUUCCUCACGAAAUUGAAGUCCUCAUCGGAUACCUCGAUCUCAUUGUCGGCAAUUUCGGAAGGGAGAUUGGGGGGAGGAUCACCGUUUUCUUCUUCGUCAUUAAGCGGUAAAUAGAUAGACAAUUGCGAAGAAAAUUAUGAAAAAAAAUUCGAAGGGGAUGACAGAGAGGCAUAGGAGAGUACAACGAGUUUUAGGGUUUUAUGCGCGACAGAGAAGAACACGGGAAUGGCUCGCUACGUGCGACCGGUUUGGGUGAGUCGAUUUUCGCAGAUUUGCUGAACCGAACAGGUUUUGCAAGCCCUCUAUAGGACAUUCUGAAAUAAUUCCUAUGUGUCUUUUUUUAUAUAUACACUAGUUAAGAAAUCGUGCGAUGCGGCGGGUAGACAUUAUUAUAGUUAGUCACUACGACAUGUAAAUUAAUACGAAGUUUAAUAUUAUAGUUUAUACUAAAAAGAUGAUCUAUAAUAUAUAAUUUUUGAAAAAUACAAACUCACUUAUCAUCUGCAGCUAUCAUUAAUUAUAUGCAUUAAUAUUUUUAAAUAUUAUUUUUCUCAAUAUUGAGUAAUUAAAAAUUAAAGAAUGAAUUAAAGAAUAAAAUUAAAGUAUAUUUUUUUUCUAAAAACAUUUAAACCUAAUAAGUAAAACGAAUAAAUUAGUUUAAAAUAAAAUAAAAGCUCAUUACAUUAUUAAAAAAGAUGAAUAAUAUUUUUUUAUUAUUUUCAUCAAGGUAUAAUUUACAAAUAAAAAAUAGUAAAAAAUUAAUUAGAGUGAAAGUACUAUAUUUGAUUUUCUUGGCUGUAAUAUCUUCAUUGUCGUCCCUGAUGAUGAAAGGGGAGGCCAAAAUAAAAAAAUAAUAGAAAGGUUCGGGACCAAUGUGCAAUUAAUUCUUAAAAAAAUUGUAUGUGGGCUCCACAAUCCACUAAAAUAAGGGGAUGCCACUUUUAGGGUUUGAGUAUUUGCGGCACUGUAGAUUUUCUUUUCCUCACCGUAACAUCUUAUCAGAUGUUCACCUACUUCUCCCUUCCCCUAUUCUCCUCCCUAUAUUGCCCGUUCGGGCAUUUUUCCUUUUCACAUGCGUCCUUGACUCUAACUCACCUCCUCCACAACUCAUCUAUUCUCAUCCUCCUCCUUCUCCUCCUCCCAGCCCUCUCCUUUUUUGCCCUCUUUGUCGAUUGUCGUCGCCUCCGCCGUCUCGCCACUGUUGACCUCCUCCGGGAGCACCUCUUCAACGCCGUUGCGGUCGAUGGCGACGAGAAGCGGUAGAGCGUCAGGUGGUGGCAGUGUCACUGGCGGCGCCGCCGUCAAGUGUACGUAAUAAAUUAGGCUCUUCUUUUUUUACCCCUUUUUUCUUUAAAAUUUUUAUCUUAUUUAUGAUUUAAUUCUCUAUGCCCAUAUCUCCACUUCACUUGCCAGUUCGAGCAAGAAUCGCCACCUUGCCACUAUCGACGUCCUCUAGGAGAACCCUUUUGCUGCCGCCUUGGCAGACGGUGAGAGGAAGCGGUGGUCCGUCGAGUGGCGAUGGCUACAACAUCGAGUGUAUGUACUUAAUUGGACUCUUCUUUUUUUUUUUUAAACCUUUUUUUAAUUUUUUAUUCAUGAUUUUAUGAUUUUUUAAUUUUCUAUGCCCAUACCUUCUCCUUACUUGUUGGUCUCGCGUUUUCUGCUCUGUGGGCCCUCUUAUGUCGUUCGUCCCAUUCCCCUUCUCAUAUACCUACACCCUCUCCCCUUUAUUUUUCUUCUUUGUACUUCCCUUACCCUCUCCCUAACCACUUCUUUAUCUCCAACGCCCUAACAGCCCCUUCUCCCUCAUCCCGAACAACACUUUCUCUUGGCAUUUUCUGCUAGGUGGGGCCAACUUACGUUCUCUCCAUGCCUUCUCUCCAUGCCUUCUCUCAGGCGCCGUACUUCCCCCAUCCCUCUUCUUCCUAACGUACAUCUUCUCAUUCCACUUCUCAGAGUUCUCCAAUGCUCUCCCAUCUCCCUCUCUCUCGCCAACAACCCCUUCUUCUCCAUCUACUCCCUCCUUCCCGCCCCCUCCUCCUCGCUCCUUCCGCCGCUGCCCUUCCUCCUCAUCUUCUGCCGCCACUAGCACCUCCUCUAUGGGUGCCGUGGCUGAAUCUGUGGGUGAGUAUGUAAGUGAACGUGAGCGAUGCCCGCGGUGGCUGUGGCACGGGGCGCCGGUGGUGGUGGUUGGACAGGGAGGUGAUGGAUGCGGGGAAGGCGGCGACAAGGAUGGAAUAACGACGGAAUCAGAGGGAGUGGGAUGAAGAAGAACAAUAACCAAAAAAAUAACAGCAGCAGCAAUAGUAGCAAUAACUGGAAUAAUGGAGCGACAGAUAAGAGGUUUAAGACGCAGUCCCCUUAGGAAGUUCUGCUGAGGAAUGGGCGGUGGGGGGUUACGUCUUCAUCUGCAACAACGAGACCAUGGGGAAGAAUCUUCGGAGGCAACUCUUUGGUAUGUGAUCAACAUCAUUUUUUCUAAUUAAUUCUAUUUCUUUUUCUAUCCUUUCUUUUUUUCUUUUUUUCUUUUUCCUUCUUUUUUAAUGAUCUUUUUGAGGAAGAUAGGGUUUUUUUCGAUUAAGAUUCAAUUUUAUGUGUAUUUCUAUUAUGUAUGUCGAAUUCAUAUGGUAUUAGAUGAUUUUGAUAGAUCAAAUAUAAUAGAAGUACAUAACAAAAAAUUGGUUGAAUUGUAGUUGUAAAUGCUGGGUAAAAAAGAAGAGAAAAUAAAACAAAUUGAAUGUUCUUAUAUCCUGUUUUGCCUGCAUCUCACGUCUCAUGGAAUGUGGGGCCCACCAUUCCAUUUAACUCACCCUCUCUCUUCUUUCGUACUACUGCUUUUGCUGUAGCUAGAAACUGUAGAGAGGAUUUUGAUGAAAAAGCUACGUUUUUGAACGGCUCUACUCAAUUCCGAGAAAAUCACACCCCAAGACAAACUCUUUAUUACUACAGAGACAUGGUUUAGUAAUAUAAUUUUCCCAACUCGAAACAAUUUGAGUUUGUGCAAGCUCCGAUUAUUAAGGUUCUUCUCACUUAGUGCAUCAAAACCACUCGAAUAUUAAUAAAAAACAAAAAAUUAUGGAGAAACUGCACUAAAUAACUUAGAUAAUGUGAUAAUUACCAAUUCUAUAUUGCAGCUUCCCAUCUAAAGUCUUAAUGGGAAGAGCGUCAGCAGGGUCCACUUGGAGCUCUUCUUCCUGAGCCUUCAAGAGGGCAGAUUUUUGAUUCCGCUUCUUGUAAAGCACUUCCAAUUUAUCAUCUUCGUGAUCCGCAACUCGCAUUACAUGCCUUCAAAUCCACAAUCCACAAAAAAAAAAGCAUAAAAAUCCAAAAAAUACACCAAAAAAUAUAUACCAACAACUGCGAGGAAACUUUUAUGUCAGAAGAAAACCGUAAGAAAUCAAUAGAUUACGAACUUAUCGAUUUAUUUUUUGUCGAUCUUGGUGAGGAAUUCGGCGUAUUUGAGAUUAUUCCUCACGAAAUCGAAAUCCUCGUCAGAUACCUCGAUCUCAUUGUCGACAAUUUCGGUAGGGAGAUUGGGGGAGGAUCACCUUCUUCUUCUUCGUCAUUGAGAGGUAUAUAAAUAGAUUGAAAAUUGUGAAGAAAAUUGGGGAAAAAAAUCAAAGCGGAUGAGAGAGAGGAAUAGGAGAGUACGAGGGGUUUUAGGGUUUUAUGCACGACAGAGAAGAACGUGGGAACGACUUGCUUCCUCCGACCGGUUCGGUUGAGCCGGUUUUUGCAGAUUUGCUGAACCGAACUGAUUUUUGCAAACCCUCUACAGGACAUUCUAAAAUAAUUCCCACGUGUCUUUUUUUAUUUUUAUUUUUUUAUAUACACUAGUUAAGAAUCCCGCGCGAUGCCGCGGUUAGACAUUAUUAUAGUUAGUCACUAUGGCAUGUAAAUUAAUAUGAAGUUUAAUAUUAUAACUUAUAUUAAAAAGAUAAUCUAUAAUAUAUAAGUGUUGAAUAAUACAAACUCACUUGUCAUCUGUAGCUAUCAUUAAUUAUAUGCAUUAAUAUUUCUAAAUAUUAUUUAUAUCAGUAUUGAAUAAUUAAAAAUUAAAGAAUGAAUUAAAGAAUAAAAUUAAAGUUUAUUUCUUUCUAAAAGUAUUUAAACCUAAUAAGUAAAACGAAUAAAUCAGUUUAAAAUAAAACAAAAGCUCAUUGCAGUAUUAAAAAAGAUGAAUAAUAUUUUUUUUUAAUUUUCAUCAAGGUACAAUUUUCAAAUAAAAAAUAUUAAAAAAUUAAUUGGAGUGAAAAUACUAUUUUUGAUAUUCUUGGCGGCAGUGUCUUCAUUAUCGUUACUGAUGAUGAAAGGGGAGGCCAAAAUAAAAAAUAGUAGAAAGGUUGGGGAUCAAUGUGCAACUAAUCCUUAAAAAAAUUGUAUGUGGGCUCCACAAUCCCCUAAAAUAAGAGAAGGCCUUUUUUAGGGUUGGGGUAUUUUGCUGCACUGUAAUUUUUUUUUUUUUUUUUCCCACAGUAACAUCUUAUCAGAUGUUUACCUACUUCUCUGUUCCCUUUUCCAGAAACACACACACACACACACACACACAUAUAUAUAUCACGAGUAUGUCCAUUGACACAAAAGAAGCUUGAGCAAAAUCCUGCAUUAUUAACCACCAAAAAAGAACCUAACAUUCAACAAAGCCAUUCUAUAUCAGAUUGAUCCCUUCACUCGUGCAGCCCUCUUCGUGAGGAAAACGUCGGUGAAAACAGUCUUAGACUGAAGAGAUGCCUUCAGCAGCUGCAAACCCUGCCCAUCAUGUGCAUAAAAUAUAUAAAUAUAUGGAUCUCUUUUGCGCGCAUAAUCUUAAAAAUAUGUAAAAUUUUGCAAAUAUAUCUGCAAAAUCGAUAAUUUUAUGUGUUUUAUUUUUGAAAAUCUUACUAAUAUAAGCCGAUGCUCUUGUUAGGGUAUGUUGCAACGCAAACUCUUUCUCGUAGAUGUCCCUACUAUGGAAUGCUCCUGCAAAUAAACAAGACUUUUCAAGAGUUUACACGAAAAUACUGACAUAGACGGUUUAUUAAUUAAUUUGCACAAGUUCAUAGAGAUCAAUAAAUGCGAGAAAAUUAAACUGCCUAAAUUAUAUAUUCGUAGAAAACAAAUUUCAAGGGAUGAUGAUGUUAGUAAUAGAUUUCAUUUAAUCUACUCAGAUUCACGAUUCACAGUGACUGAAUUUGGGUUAAGCUUCAACGAAUACGUCUACCUUUGCCUAGCCUCAGUUGAGAUGGAUUCUUGGGUAAAUUAAUAAUUGCACCACUCAGUCACUAAACUUACUAGCCAACUUUCACUUUAGUCCUCCAACUUUUAAGUCCUUCAUUUAGCACUCCUAACUCUUGACUGCAUUACAUUUUGCUCCGUAUCUUUAUUUACUAUUGAAGAAAAAAAUUGAAAUAUAUAAUAAUAAACUGUAUUAUUAUUGCCUACACUUGAUUGUGAAAAGUAUAAGGUUGGGGUGCCCAAGGGGCAAUUAAGCCAACAAUUAUUUCCUACACCUAGCUAGUGCCUCUCAUGUGCAUGUUGAGCACCAUGCAUGUAUUUAUUAUAUAUGGACUCUUAAUCUCAUGUCUCACUAGUGAAGGACCCGCGCGUUGCAGCGGAACGAUUCUGCAGAAAUAAAUAUAUAAAUAAAAUAAAUAAUAGUAAAAAAAAAAGUCAAAAAAUUGUAUAAAAAANNNNNNNNNNNNNNNNNNNNNNNNNNNNNNNNNNNNNNNNNNNNNNNNNNNNNNNNNNNNNNNNNNNNNNNNNNNNNNNNNNNNNNNNNNNNNNNNNNNNNNNNNNNNNNNNNNNNNNNNNNNNNNNNNNNNNNNNNNNNNNNNNNNNNNNNNNNNNNNNNNNNNNNNNNNNNNNNNNNNNNNNNNNNNNNNNNNNNNNNNNNNNNNNNNNNNNNNNNNNNNNNNNNNNNNNNNNNNNNNNNNNNNNNNNNNNNNNNNNNNNNNNNNNNNNNNNNNNNNNNNNNNNNNNNNNNNNNNNNNNNNNNNNNNNNNNNNNNNNNNNNNNNNNNNNNNNNNNNNNNNNNNNNNNNNNNNNNNNNNNNNNNNNNNNNNNNNNNNNNNNNNNNNNNNNNNNNNNNNNNNNNNNNNNNNNNNNNNNNNNNNNNNNNNNNNNNNNNNNNNNNNNNNNNNNNNNNNNNNNNNNNNNNNNNNNNNNNNNNNNNNNNNNNNNNNNNNNNNNNNNNNNNNNNNNNNNNNNNNNNNNNNNNNNNNNNNNNNNNNNNNNNNNNNNNNNNNNNNNNNNNNNNNNNNNNNNNNNNNNNNNNNNNNNNNNNNNNNNNNNNNNNNNNNNNNNNNNNNNNNNNNNNNNNNNNNNNNNNNNNNNNNNNNNNNNNNNNNNNNNNNNNNNNNNNNNNNNNNNNNNNNNNNNNNNNNNNNNNNNNNNNNNNNNNNNNNNNNNNNNNNNNNNNNNNNNNNNNNNNNNNNNNNNNNNNNNNNNNNNNNNNNNNNNNNNNNNNNNNNNNNNNNNNNNNNNNNNNNNNNNNNNNNNNNNNNNNNNNNNNNNNNNNNNNNNNNNNNNNNNNNNNNNNNNNNNNNNNNNNNNNNNNNNNNNNNNNGCCACGCGGCGCCCCCCCAUGCGCGCCCGCCUGCCCGCGCCCCGCGCUCGCUCCUGCCCGCGCCUCCACGCUCGCCACCUGUUCCAAAACUGAGAAUUCAUGUAUGUUAUAGAUAUUUUAGUCAUACCACCUAUUAACUUACAGAUUUUAUAUGUAGAAAUUGAGCAAUAAGAUUAAAAGUAUAAGAUGUAGGGCUUAAUAGAUGUUAACUGACUUGAACCAAUCCAAAAACUUUUUUUUUUAUUUUUUUUUGAGAGACAGAUAGCACGCUACCCACUUCGUUUAUUUCAUUUAGAAAUAAACUUAGCUGGAAAUGUGAACCAACUAGGAUUCGAGGGCCUGGGACCUCGGGUACCAAUCACCAAGCUCUUUGCAACUGGCUCUAGGGAACCAAUCCAAAAACUUAAGUUAACAAAUGGAGAUACUCUUACCCACUAAAUAAAGUCCACAAUUCUUGUUCUAUUUAAUACGGGACUACUAGGUGCUAUUGGGCUUCUCUAUGAAUAAUCCCUCUAACAUAGAAAAACUAUUAAACAGGUGUUGUUAAAAGCUGAGUUACACUGCCAAGAGUUAUAUAAUUCUAUUUCAUCCAAACACCUACACAGUUUUGUAGUUUCAAUAUGUUAUAGGCAUAAGGAUUGGACCCACGUGUUAUUCUCAUUAGCUCUUCUUUACAACUUCUCUUGAUUAAUUUACAGCUCCAAGUUGCCAGGUUCUGGUGCUGCAAUUUAGAAUAUCACUUAAUUACCUAAAUCUGAGAUAGAUGUUGGCAUUCGGUUAAAUCGAAUCGGGUACGCCCAUAAGCGGGUUCGAUCCGACGGAUAUUAUGUUAUCUAAUUGGAUUGGAAUUAAUCUCGCUUUCAAAUUGAAAAGUUAGUUAGAGAUAAAUCCUAGUCAUAUUAGGAUAACAAUUAAUAACCGAUUUGGCCUUAUCUCUAAGCCAUAAGGAUUUUGGAAUCCCUUAUAAAUAUGCGGGCGAUCCCACAUAACGUAAUAUACGGAAAGAACGAAAAAAGAGAGAGAAUAAAAAAAAAAUAAUAGAGAGAAACCACAUCCUCCAUCGACCUAUUAUUCUAGAGGGACUUGCACGGUGGAUUUGCGAUCGCGCUCGUUUGCAGUUCGAUCCACCACGAGUUUGGGGAGUUAGAAGAUUUUCAAGGAAGAUUCAAGGACACGUAAAU
rnacentral:lncRNA from 1 species